rnacentral:piRNA from 1 species
UGGCAUUGGUAACAAGCCCCAGCGGUG